rnacentral:tRNA from 1 species
GUAGCUGUAGCUCAGCAGGAGAGCGUUUGCAGUCAGCACGAGUGAGAGGUCCUGGGUUCAAUUCCCACAGCUGCA